GUCCACUGCUGCGUGGGACUGGUGGAAAAAUGUUUAAUUCGGAUAGAAGGAAGCCUGUUGGGCCCACACACUCUGCCACAUUCUGCAUCCUAAACCUUAUCAGAAGAUAAUCCAUCUCCUGACUCCUCCCACCCAUCCCUAAUUGAUUCAGAGCCUGAGUAGGGAGGAGGCUUCCUGUUUGUUGAGUACAGUCUACGACUUGUUUCACGUACGCAUUCAGGGACACUUCAUCUCCACAAGGCCUCUCAUGACCCUGCUCCUCCAGUCUGCCCCGAGUCCUUCGCGCUGCAUCGGAUGACGGAUCGCAUAGAAGCUCUUACCCUGUAAGGCGUUUGCUAACGUAUGUGUUUUUCUCUGCUGGCUGGUUGAUGGUGCUCAGGACACAUUUGCUCCAUGAAUAAUGGAAAGUUACAUCACUGUCGUGUCAAAGUCAACGAGCCACCAAUUUAGAGUAUUGGCGACCCACAGAUUCAUCCUCUCACUCUCCCUUUCCUAGGGGCGCCCCUGCUGGAACAGCUGGUCGCCUUGGGGAUCCACAGAGAUCCCCAAGGAGCAGGCUGAGGGAAGUCACAAAAAUGACAAAAGGCAAGGAAGCUAGAUUUACAACAGCAGCCUCACCCUGAGCUGGAUCAUGGUCACAUCUGCCCUCACCCCUCCCCAUCUCACUUGUGACCUUCUAUGCCCAC
rnacentral:lncRNA from 1 species